rnacentral:rRNA from 1 species
UGGUCAUGGAAGUCGAAAUCCGCUAAGGAGUGUGUAACAACUCACCUGCCGAAUGGAAUAGCCCUGAAAAUGGAUGGCGCUAAAGUGAUUCACCUAAAUCUCACCAUAAUAUCAAAUCGUACAUUAUGGAAUGUAUACUAAUAGGAUAUUAUGUGUAGGGGAGCGUGGUGUUCUUUGUCAAUAUUCUAUCGUGAGAUAGAUAGGAAAGGAUACUAGUGCAGAUCUUGGUGGUAGUAGCAAUGAUUCAAAUGUGAUCUUUGAAGACUGACGUGGAGAAAGGUUCCAUGGGAAACGUCUUGUUCCAUGGGUUAGUCGAUCCUAAGUUGGUACCGAAAGGUUGUACAUGAUAGGUGUGUUAGCUUUGUUAUUGUGCGCAGUAGCGAAUGAAUCAUACCAUCUCCAACGAAAGGGAAAUAGGUUCAUAUUCCUAUACCCAUACGAUGCAAAUAGAUAAACAUUGGUAACAAAAGGAACAUCCGAGACAUUCGUUUGUAAUCUCUGAAGAAAUUUCUCUUCUUUUUAACAGUUUAUGUGGUAGGCAUACUACAUUCUUUCUAUGUGUAACAACAUAGAAAUGGUAACACCAUGGAAGCGUAUUGUACGGAGAUAUGGUUGUACAACUGGGAAAGGUGAUACUUUAUGUAUUUUUACUAUGUAAAAUAAGUAAAAUCACUAGAGAACUUACAAAAGGAUCCUUGAAAAUCGGAUAGACUGCUUAUGCGUUGUCAUCGUGGUUCGUACUCAUAACCGCAUCAGGUCUCCAAGGUGAAUAGCCUCUAGUCUAUAGAAUAAUGUAGGUAAGGGAAGUCGGCAAAAUAGAUCCGUAACUUUGGGAAAAGGAUUGGCUCAAUGGGAUGCUCUAAUCUCGUAUUAGAACAACAUCCACCAUUGAACUGAAACGGACAAGAGGAAUCCGACUGUUUAAUUAAAACAAAGCAUUGCGAUGGUUCGCAACGAAUGUUUACGCAAUGUGAUUUCUGCCCAGUGCUUUGAAUAUCAAUGUGGAGAAAUUCAAGUAAGUAGUGGUCAACGGCGGGAGUAACUAUGACUCUCUUAAGGUAGCCAAAUGCCUCGUCGUCUAAUUAGCGACGCGCAUGAAUGGAUUAAUGAGAUUCCUACUGUCCCUAUCUACGAUCUAGCGAAACCACAGCCAAGGGAACGGGCUUGGAAAUUUCAGCGGGGAAAGAAGACCCUCUUGAGCUUGACUCUAGUCUGACUUGGUGAAUUGACUCGAUUGGUGUAGCAUAUGUGGGAGUACGCAAGUACAAUAGUGAAAUACCACAACUUUCGACGUUAAUUUGCUCAUCUAUUUAGUAUCUCACAUCUUAUUGAAGUAUUUUAGAGACUCAUAGAAACAAAGUCAGGUGGGGAGUUUGACUGGGGCGGUACAUCUGUUAAACGAUAACACAGGUGUCCUAAGAUGAGCUCAACGAGAGCAGAAAUCUCGUGUAGAACAAAAGGGUAAAAGCUCAUUUAAUUGUUGAUUUUCAGUACGAAUACAAAUAAUGAAAGUUUGGCCUAUCGAUCCUUUAGUUGCAUAAUCUUAUAAAGCAUGUUUAUCUAGAGGUGUCAGAAAAGUUACCAAAGGGAUAACUGGCUUGUGGCAGCCAAGAGUUCAUAUCGACGUUGCUUUUUGAUUCUUCGAUGUCGGCUCUUCCUAU